GUCCCUGUAGCGCAAUGGGUAGCGCGUUGGACUUCUAAUCCAAAUGUCGUCAUCCCACCAGGGAUG